CAUGCAGUUUCUUUACUAACUGAGCCACCUGGGAAGCCCUAGGCUUACAAGUAUUAUGGGUCAAAGGUUGGCAACUGGCUUCGCCCUCAUCCCUACCAGCUGGAACCAAUCUCCUGGCCUGUAACAAGGGCUGGAACCUUGCUGUUUAUCUCCCUGGUGUGCCCCCAGCACCUAGGAUACUAUCUGCACAAGGCUGACACUCCGUUCCUGCCCUGGGCUCCUGGGCUCUCACACCCCCACACCAGGAUCACCCCCACAUCAGCCUCAUGAUGGCCUGUUUUCUCAUCAGUCAAUACUCUCAGGAAUGAAUACAUGAAUGGAAUGAGUUACGAGAGUGAAGGAGAAGAGUCCCUUUGGCCUUCAUGAAGUAAUGCUUGAAGAUUCCAAGGAUUAAGAUCUGAACAUUUUAGGAGGCUCUUUGCAUCAACCACCAUUCUCCCCAACACGCCCAGAUCUUCCCUGGGCCACGCCUCUGCAGCCUUCUGAUUUCAGCUUAAACUGUAUCAAUCAAAGGAGUAUUUUUAGGAUCCCUCUGUUGAAAGGGGCUCCGGCACCUCUCCCAUCCACAGCUCCGCCCUUAGUAGCCCCUCCCUCCUCUUGCUUCUUUCCUUCCUGGCAGUAACUGUAAUGACGCAGAGUAUUUACCUAUUUUAUUUUCUCAUACUCUCUGCCUCUGUAUCGUUGGCUUCUGCUAGCCCAGCACCCAGCACCAAGCCUGGCACAUAGUAUGAGCACAAUAACUGUUUGUUACAUGAAUAGAUGAGUUGGCAGUUUGUCUUUGAACGGACUCACAAAGCUUUCAGCUGACUUAGAGGCCCUGUGAUAGCACAGUCGAUGGGAAGGAAUUUGAGGCUGGAGAGUCCCGAAGUUGACUUCCGGAUUUCACUGUGAUUUCUCUACUCUUAGCUUCCCUGAGCCUCCGUGGGCAGACAGUCCUCUUCAUGUAAGGUACGCAGUGAACACCCACGACCUGCCCAGCACAUCUGAGGUGUGCAGUCAACACUGGUUCCGAUCCCAUGGGAGCAGCAUCGGCACCACGUGGGGCCUUCAAGAGUUUCAAGGUUCUUGGGUCCCACCCAGACCCACUGGAUCAGAAAUGCUAGGGGUGGGCCUGGGGAUCUUUAACAUGCCCUCCAGGGGGUUCUUUGCAUGCCCAUGUGUCAGAACUCCUGGGGGCCAUGUUAGCUCUCUGCACUGCACGUGUUUUUAACUUGAUCUGUUUGGCUGUGCUGGGACUUCGCUGUUGCGUGCUGUCGCGGGGGUUGCUCUCUGGGCGUGGUGCACCAGCUUCUUGCCCCAGUGUCUUCUCUCAUUGUGGAGCACAGGCUCUCGGCUCGCGGGCUCAGUUCCUGCGGCCCCGGGGCUCUGGAGCACUCAGGCUUCAGUAGUUGGGGCCCGUGGGCUUAGCUGUUCCGCAGCAAGUGGGAUCUUCCCAGACGAGGGCUCAAACUGUGUUUCCUACACUGGCAGGUGGGUUCUUUACCACUGAGCCACCAGGGAAGCCCUGCGUGUGUUAAUACCUUCUGCUCAUGACAUGGUGACUAACAUGAAUGUUCCUCCGGGUGUCCCUAAAUCACCACGCGAAUUGCUUGGGGAGACUGACCGAACCCCGGGGACACUGAGAACCAUGGAAGCAGAGGGACCACCCCAUGGCCACACAGCUUGUCCCUGGCACAACCAGAGUCAGAGUCAGGACUGCCGCUCCCGACCCUCUCUUCUCUGCCCAGCGCCCCUCUCAAUGACCCUUGGGGGUGGAGCAGAUGCUUUGGGCAUUUUGACUUUUCUUACUUUGGUGGGUGUGCUGACUCUCAAAGCCCCCUGAGUGAAGGGAACCUGAUUUCAUAUGAGAAAGUGCAGACUUGGGGGUCAGACACGCAGCCUUUCAAGUGCCCACUCCAACAUCGCUGGCUGCGCAACCCCACCCCCGGGGCCGGGCUCCCAUUCCCAGCUCGCGGCAGAUGGGGACAUUGGGGCAGCACCUGGCACCUGAAGGCCAAGGGGACCAGGUCAUCCUCACUGAGCGCCCGCUGCAGCCCCGGCGUCCUCCUGGGACUCACUGGGCGCCCGCUGCAGCCCCGGCGUCCUCCUAGGUGCUCACUGGGUGCCCACUGCAGCCCUGGCUUCCCCCUAGGUGCUCACUGGGCGCCUGCUGCAGCCCCGGCGUCCUCCUAGGUGCUCACUGGGCGCCCGCUGCAGCCCUGGCUUCCUCCUAGGUGCUGGGAGGGUAGAAGGGAAGGAGCAGACAGUCCAGGCCGGGGCCCACUGGAUGCCAUAGAGCACCCCCCACCCUUCCAGCUGAGAGAAUCAAAACUGUCUCCAGUCAACCGUGUUAGGGGCAAAGCUGCCCGUGGUUGAGAAUCACGGGUCUGACCUCAAUCAGGGACACCAAAACGAGGUGAAAUAAGGUGGAACAAAGUGAAACAAGGUCACAGAACUGUAGGUAUCUUUUAAACCCCCUAAGCUACUUAUCCACAUAGCUAGAAUUCCAGGUAGAUAGGCAUAGAGACACAGAUGUAGAAAGAGUUGUAGAUACAGAUGAAGAUACAGAUAGGGAUACAGAGGAACAGGGAGGUAGAGAUAGAUUCCUUCUGGCGCAGGUGGUGAUUAGCGCUCUGAAGAAAAAUAAACCAGGUCCAGGGGCUGACUUAGAACAGGGGUCAGGGCGGGCCUCUCUGAUGAGGUGACUCUGGGCAGAGAGCACUGUGAAAGAGGGAAUCGGCACAGGGAUGUCAGGGUAAGCGAGCUCCAGGCACAGGGAGGGGAGGGAGUCGUGCAAAGGCCCUGAGGCUGACUGUGCAAAGUGAGCGUGAAGCCCAGUGAGAAGGCCAGUGUGCCUGGGCCAGAGGUGGCGAUGCAGGGGCAGCUGAUGAGGUCAGCGAGACGUCAGAGUCCCGGUCAUGUUUGGCCUUGGUGCCAUUGUGACCAUUUCAGGUUUUGCUCUGUGUGAAGAGGGACCCAUAGAGGAUCUGAUCUGAGCAGGGGAAGGAUGUGAUCUGACUUAGACCUUGAAAACCAGGCAAGAAGGGGUGUCAGGAGACUGUGGCAAUGGUCCACACAAAGGAUGGUGGCAGCUUGGAGG